rnacentral:lncRNA from 1 species
AUAUGCAGUCUUUCCCAUUUCCAGCUCCCACAGCCAUGUCACAAUUUGUGGUUUGCAAAAUUAGAAACCAAUGAAGUAUGCUGGCAUAGAAGGAGUCCUCAGGAGAAAAAAUCCAGCAAUAAAAAGGCUGGUAAUUGCUGCAGAACAAGGAACUGAUGGAUAGCUCAGCAAGCUGGUUGCAGGUAGGUAGGCAAAGUGACUCAUGAAGUAGGCUAUAUAAAGGGAUGAGUAAUCAAUGAAAACAGAAUGAAGGAACAAAUUGUCUCAUAUGGGAAAGGCAGCUGCAUCUGGAGAUCACCUCUCCAUGAAGGGGGGAAAAAAAAGAAAAAAAAAAAAAAAAGUAGAAACAGAAAAGGAACAGAAAAGUUGUUGAAGUGGAAUAGAGAAGGGUAAAUGAAGAAAGCAUCAGAGCAGCAACACCCAGAAGCCAACAUCCGUCCUAGCACCAGCAGCAAAUGGUCAUGGUCAUGGGCUGAGAAGGGGGCACUCAGUUCCUAAGGAUACUCUGACCUAUCUUCCACAUCCACACCAGUGAGCAAACACAGGGGAAAGAGGCAGAGAGUCAGCCGCAGAUUGUAGCUGGGGGUGCAUCUGUCGUGGGCCUGAGGAUAACGCUGAUCAGGCAGGGCAGAUUUAGCAGUGAAGGGGAAUGUGACAUAUUUUAGAGCAGAAACAGUAUCAUGGUGUUCGGCUGCUGCAGCAUUCACAGCCGUGUGGUCAGGGCUUGGUCAGUAUCAGGGCAUCCUCUGGGUCUCCAGCAAAGCAGCCGUGUACUGACACCACGGUGAGCCAGAAUGUCUGUGUGGAUCCAGGAGAGCGGGGCUGGCUGUUCUCCAGCACAAGACACCACAUGCUCCAUUUGUCUGGUCCAGGUAGGCCAGCACCUGCCCCAGCUCUGAGGCACUGUGGUCCAGAGAGAUCCAUGUUGGUACACAGGUACAGAGCUCUUCUAAGUGUGUUACCUCCUGGAGACAGCUUAAAGAAAUGCAUGAGACUGUAAAGCAUGAGUGUUAGCAGAGGAAAGCAAUGUUCAGCUACCAUCU